CCGCGUGAAUGAUGAAGGUCUUAGGAUUGUAAAAUUCUUUCAGUGGGGACGAUAAUGACGGUACCCACAGAAGAAGCUCCGGCUAACUUCGUGC
rnacentral:rRNA from 1 species